rnacentral:rRNA from 1 species
GAACGCUAGCUACAGGCUUAACACAUGCAAGUCGAGGGGCAGCAUGGUCUUAGCUUGCUAAGGCCGAUGGCGACCGGCGCACGGGUGAGUAACACGUAUCCAACCUGCCGUCUACUCUUGGACAGCCUUCUGAAAGGAAGAUUAAUACAAGAUGGCAUCAUGAGUCCGCAUGUUCACAUGAUUAAAGGUAUUCCGGUAGACGAUGGGGAUGCGUUCCAUUAGAUAGUAGGCGGGGUAACGGCCCACCUAGUCUUCGAUGGAUAGGGGUUCUGAGAGGAAGGUCCCCCACAUUGGAACUGAGACACGGUCCAAACUCCUACGGGAGGCAGCAGUGAGGAAUAUUGGUCAAUGGGCGAGAGCCUGAACCAGCCAAGUAGCGUGAAGGAUGACUGCCCUAUGGGUUGUAAACUUCUUUUAUAAAGGAAUAAAGUCGGGUAUGGAUACCCGUUUGCAUGUACUUUAUGAAUAAGGAUCGGCUAACUCCGUGCCAGCAGCCGCGGUAAUACGGAGGAUCCGAGCGUUAUCCGGAUUUAUUGGGUCUAAAGGGAGCGUAGAUGGAUGUUUAAGUCAGUUGUGAAAGUUUGCGGCUCAACCGUAAAAUUGCAGUUGAUACUGGAUAUCUUGAGUGCAGUUGAGGCAGGCGGAAUUCGUGGUGUAGCGGUGAAAUGCUUAGAUAUCACGAAGAACUCCGAUUGCGAAGGCAGCCUGCUAAGCUGCAACUGACAUUGAGGCUCGAAAGUGUGGGUAUCAAACAGGAUUAGAUACCCUGGUGGUCCACACGGUAAACGAUGAAUACUCGCUGUUUGCGAUAUACUGCAAGCGGCCAAGCGAAAGCGUUAAGUAUUCCACCUGGGGAGUACGCCGGCAACGGUGAAACUCAAAGGAAUUGACGGGGGCCCGCACAAGCGGAGGAACAUGUGGUUUAAUUCGAUGAUACGCGAGGAACCUUACCCGGGCUUAAAUUGCAGAUGAAUUACGGUGAAAGCCGUAAGCCGCAAGGCAUCUGUGAAGGUGCUGCAUGGUUGUCGUCAGCUCGUGCCGUGAGGUGUCGGCUUAAGUGCCAUAACGAGCGCAACCCUUGUUGUCAGUUACUAACAGGUUCCGCUGAGGACUCUGACAAGACUGCCAUCGUAAGAUGUGAGGAAGGUGGGGAUGACGUCAAAUCAGCACGGCCCUUACGUCCGGGGCUACACACGUGUUACAAUGGGGGGUACAGAGGGCCGCUACCACGCGAGUGGAUGCCAAUCCCCAAAACCUCUCUCAGUUCGGACUGGAGUCUGCAACCCGACUCCACGAAGCUGGAUUCGCUAGUAAUCGCGCAUCAGCCACGGCGCGGUGAAUACGUUCCCGGGCCUUGUACACACCGCCCGCCAAGCCAUGGGAGCCGGGGGUACCUGAAGUGCGUAACCGCGAGGAGCGCCCUAGGGUAAAACUGGUGACUGGGGCUAAG